CAGAGUUUAUGUUAGAGGUGGACUUCGUAUUCUCUUCUUCCUCACACUUGUACAGAGCUACUCUGACUUCAUAAUGGCUUUCAAUUGAUUAUUUGUUUCUCUUCCAGGCUUAAGAACUUUACCACUGACUACAGGAGACAGAAAAGAGCAGACAAGGUGAAAGAAAUGAAAGAAGGGAAAAGAAAGCCCAGGGAUCCUGGAGAAGAUGUUUCCUCCCCCUCCCCUUAUCCACCAGAGGCCUCAGCUGUCUAGAUGGGAGGUUCACAGCAGUAGCAGAGCCUCCAGCAGGUGUGUCAGCACCUGAAGAAGCUUCAGGAGUUGGAGCAGAAGUUCACCUACGACAGCGACUCCAUCACACAGAAGAAAGCUUUCCUGGAGGCCCGAGCUCUGGAGCUCAACAACCUCUUCUCCAAGUUCCUGAUGAAGCUGCAGGAGUCGAGGCCAUGUUUGACAAGUGAGCCUUUUCCUCAGGGUUGUUACAGAGAAGAAAGGGUUUCGGAAGUUCAACAUUUUGGGAACAAACACCAAAGUCAUGAACAUGGAGGAGUCGAACGGCGGCCUGGCAGCACAGUUCACUUUUCUUCAGGGUCACAGUAAUCCAGUGACAGCUGUCUCUACAUCCAUGGCUGCACUGCAAACAGGAGAUGAUCACAGCUGAUUCAGCACUUUUAAUGAAAAUGUGUAAACAAAUAUACGCUGCAAUUACUGCAGGGAUUCAGCUGGUGCAGGUGGUGUUAAACUACUGUCAGAUAUGAGCAUCUUAUUGUGUGGAGGUAUCAUGUAAAACUCUGUAUCAGUGGUUUUAGUUUUCAUAAGUGUUGGAACAGCUAUUAAAUCACUGUACAACUCAGUUGUUGUUGAUUUUUGAUGAUGUAGACUCACUGUCCCACAACCUUAAACCUACAGAACUGUUUUUAUCACGUUGUUAUAUAAUCUGGUCAGGUCAUCUGGAAACGCCUCAGGAUCCUCCAGGAGGAGCUGGAAAAUGUUUGUCAGGAUGCCGCCACCGCAAAGAAGAUGGACGGACUUAAAACUUCCCGCUUGGUCUUUACAACUUUACCAGCUGACUAGCUUCAAACACAUCAUUGUAAAAUGUUUUUUUACCAAAGACAUUAGUUUUCAGAAAUAAAAGACUUUGACCCACGUGCAACCCCAUGUGUUGCAUCAAUUCCAGCCUCUCCAAGCUGGAACGACUUGUACCCUGUGAGCCCUGCAGAUACAAACUGGAUGUAAUGGUGUAUUUUGCUGUAUGGUCACAUGGUGGUAUGAACAGGGGAGGUGGUGUAGGAUGAAAGCAAAAGACAGAUACUGACACUGGUGUGACGUCUACCCUCAGAUACUGUAUGUGUGCCUUAUGUUGAUCUUUACUGAUACAAUAAACUAUUUUACUCUUUU